rnacentral:rRNA from 1 species
GUAGUCAUAUGCUUGUCUCAAAGAUUAAGCCAUGCAUGUCUAAGUAUAAACAAAUUUAUACUGUGAAACUGCGAAUGGCUCAUUAAAUCAGUUAUAGUUUAUUUGAUAGUACCUUACUACUUGGAUAACCGUGGUAAUUCUAGAGCUAAUACAUGCUAAAAACCCCGACUUUUGGAGGGGUGUAUUUAUUAGAUAAAAACCAAUGCCCUUCGGGGCUCCUUGGUGAUUCAUAAUAACUUAACGAAUCGCAUGGCCUUGUGCCGGCGAUGGUUCAUUCAAAUUUCUGCCCUAUCAACUUUCGAUGGUAGGAUAGUGGCCUACCAUGGUUUCAACGGGUAACGGGGAAU